UAUGUGAUCGUCUCUCGCAUAUCAAUAAGCGGAGGAAAAGAAACUAACAAGGAUUCCCCUAGUAACGGCGAGUGAAGCGGGAAGAGCUCAAAUUUGAAAUCUUAAAGGGUUUCCCUUUACGAAUUGUAGUUUAAAGAAGUGUUUUCUGUUGAGGUUUUGGUAAAAGUUCUUUGGAAUAGGACAUCAUAGAGGGUGAGAAUCCCGUAUUUGACCUUUACUUUCAACUUUGUGAUACACUUUCAAAGAGUCGGAUUGUUUGGGAAUGCAGUCCAAAAUGGGUGGUAAAUUUCAUCUAAAGCUAAAUAUUGGCGAGAGACCGAUAGCGAACAAGUACCGUGAGGGAAAGAUGAAAAGAAGCUUUGAGAAGAGAGUUAAACAGUACGUGAAAUUGUCAAAAGGGAAGCGUUUGACACCAGUGUUGUUUUUCUGAAAAUCAAUUAAAGAACUGUUUAUGCUAAGUCUGUUUAGACUUUAUCAGCUAUCUGUUUAGUUUUGAGCUUUUCUUUAAUGCACUUUUCAGUUAACAAGUCAACAUCAAUUUCUUUUGCUGUAAAAAAGCUUGAGGAAGGUGGCUUGAGAUUCGUCUUAAGUGUUUAUAGCCUCUUGCCUAUGCAGUCGGAGAGAUUGAGGUCUGCAGCGUAGAUCCUUCGGGGCUAAAUGCAUUUAGUGCUAAGUUAUAGCAUUUUAUAGACAACUUGUUGACUAUGAUUUGUCUUGUAGCUUACUCGCUUAUGUUAUUUUACCUACGCUUAGGAUGUUGAUAUCGCGCUCUCACUG
rnacentral:rRNA from 1 species